CUUAGAGUUUGAUCCUGGCUCAGGAUGAACGCUGGCGGUAUGCUUAACACAUGCAAGUCGAACGGUGUCUUCGGACAUAGUGGCGGACGGGUGAGUAACGCGUGAGAAUCUAGCUUCAGGUCUGGGACAACCACUGGAAACGGUGGCUAAUACCGGAUGUGCCGGAAGGUGAAAGGCUUGCUGCCUGAAGAUGAGCUCGCGUCCGAUUAGCUAGUAGGUGGGGUAAGAGCCUACCUAGGCGACGAUCGGUAGCUGGUCUGAGAGGAUGACCAGCCACACUGGGACUGAGACACGGCCCAGACUCCUACGGGAGGCAGCAGUGGGGAAUUUUCCGCAAUGGGCGAAAGCCUGACGGAGCAAUACCGCGUGAGGGAGGAAGGCUCUUGGGUUGUAAACCUCUUUUCUCAGGGAAGAACACAAUGACGGUACCUGAGGAAUCAGCAUCGGCUAACUCCGUGCCAGCAGCCGCGGUAAUACGGAGGAUGCAAGCGUUAUCCGGAAUGAUUGGGCGUAAAGCGUCCGCAGGUGGCUGUGUAAGUCUGCUGUCAAAGAGCAAAGCUCAACUUUGUAAAGGCAGUGGAAACUACACGGCUAGAGUGCGUUCGGGGCAGAGGGAAUUCCUGGUGUAGCGGUGAAAUGCGUAGAGAUCAGGAAGAACACCGGUGGCGAAGGCGCUCUGCUAGGCCGCAACUGACACUGAGGGACGAAAGCUAGGGGAGCGAAUGGGAUUAGAUACCCCAGUAGUCCUAGCUGUAAACGAUGGAUACUA
rnacentral:rRNA from 1 species